rnacentral:rRNA from 1 species
AUAUCCCUACGGGGGGCAGCAGUGGGGGAUAUUGCACAAUGGGGGAAACCCUGAUGCAGCGACGCCGCGUGGGCGAAGAAGCGCCUCGGCGCGUAAAGCCCUGUCAGCAGGGAAGAAAAUGACGGUACCUGAAGAAGAAGCCCCGGCUAACUACGUGCCAGCAGUCGCGGUAAUACGUAGGGGGCAAGCGUUAUCCGGAUUUACUGGGUGUAAAGGGGGCGCAGACGGCGAUGCAAGCCAGGAGUGAAAGCCCGGGGACCAACCCCGGGACUGCUCUUGGAACUGCGUGGCUCGAGGGCAGGAGG